AUGAUUAGAUUUUGUCUGCGUCCAGAAAAAGUAGUACAACUUAUCUACCAUUGCAGCAGCUGCCUACAGGAGGGGGGAUCCCUGAACAUGCCUGCAUUAUUUAUCUUCAAUCUAGUUCAACUUUUGCUCUUGUAUUUAGCUUGCUUGUGCUCAUGUGCAUGUCUCUUGAGUUCCAUUGAACAAUCACGCUCUGAGCAGGAAAAAGUGAAGCAUUUUUGGGCAUCUAGGUUUCUUAUCAGUGAUAGACUAUGUACCAUAUCCCAGGAAUGUUGCAGGCAUCCUAAGCAGGUGCUUUUGAUCCCUUUCGUAGUUCAUGAUAGCAUAUUUGAGUGCAUUUUGCUUAAUAUUUGUUACAUGUGUUAUUGA
rnacentral:rRNA from 1 species